AUUUAACUCAGAUUCUUCCUUCUCUCCAUAGAACCCAUCGAAUCCUCUACUCUGGCGACGAUAGAGACGCCAUCUUUUGCAACGGAAUGCACGGUGUCGAAAUAUUCGACCUUUCCUUUAUUUCAGCAAGAAGUCUGGCCGCUUUUCGUUGAAUCGUAGACGCCACAACCCAUCUUUUCCGACUAGAUCUGCAAAAACUCAGGUAUAUAUACAUAUAAGUGAAAGGCAGAGCAGAGCCCAUCACAAAUAUUACAACGUCGAAGGUGGAAUUGUAUGAGGAUUGGGAUUUUUAAUCUCAGGUUUGUUAAGUUUUAUCUUGCUAGGUGUUUGAUUCUCAG
rnacentral:lncRNA from 1 species